rnacentral:sRNA from 3 species
GUUCGGUGGAAACGAGAAUAAAACGUGAAGGAUAACGUUGCGUCAGCAACGACCCGUAGGGCGAGGCAAAGCCGAGUCAUCCUGCACAACCCACCA